rfam:Bordetella bronchialis strain AT17976, complete genome.
GUACGUCUUCAGGGCGGGGUGAAAUUCCCCACCGGCGGUAGGCCAUGCAAAGUGGCAAGCCCGCGAGCGCCCGCGGUCCGGCAACGGUCGGCGGGGUCAGCAGAUCUGGUCAGAUUCCAGAGCCGACGGUCAUAGUCCGGAUGAGAGAAGAUGUGC